GACGGAGGAUGCAAGCGUUAUCCGGAAUGAUUGGGCGUAAAGUGUCCGCAGGUGGCAGUUCAAGUCUGCUGUCAAAGACCGGGGCUUAACUUCGGAAAGGCAGUGGAAACUGAACAGCUAGAGUAUGGUAGGGGCAGAGGGAAUUCCUGGUGUAGCGGUGAAAUGCGUAGAGAUCAGGAAGAACAUCGGUGGCGAAGGCGCUCUGCUGGACCAUAACUGACACUCAGGGACGAAAGCUAGGGGAGCGAAUGGG
rnacentral:rRNA from 1 species